AGGCGUAUCGCCAAGUGGUAAGGCACGGGACUUUGACUCCCGUAUCGUUGGUUCAAAUCCAGCUACGCCUG
rnacentral:tRNA from 1 species